GACGAACGCUGGCGGCGUGCUUAACACAUGCAAGUCGAACGGAAAGGCCCUGCUUUUGUGUGGUGCUCGAGUGGCGAACGGGUGAGUAACACGUGAGUAACCUGCCCUUGACUUUGGGAUAACUUCAGGAAACUGGGGCUAAUACCGGAUAGGAGCUCCUGCUGCAUGGUGGGGGUUGGAAAGUUUCGGCGGUUGGGGAUGGACUCGCGGCUUAUCAGCUUGUUGGUGGGGUAGUGGCUUACCAAGGCUUUGACGGGUAGCCGGCCUGAGCGGGUGACCGGCCACAUUGGGACUGAGAUACGGCCCAGACUGCUACGGGAGGCAGCAGUGGGGAAUAUUGCACAAUGGGCGGGAGCCUGAUGAAGCAACGCCGCGUGCGGGAUGACGGCCUUCGGGUUGUAAACCGCUUUCGCCUGUGACGAAGCGUGAGUGACGGUAAUGGGUAAAGAAGCACCGGCUAACUACGUG
rnacentral:rRNA from 1 species